rnacentral:rRNA from 1 species
ACUCCUACGGGAGGCAGCAGUGAGGGAAUAUUGGACAAUGGGGCGAACCCUGAUCCAGCCAUGCCGCGUGCAGGAAGACUGCCCUAUGGGUUGUAAACUGCUUUUGUACGGGAAGAAACACCCCCACCGUGUGGGGGCUUGACGGUACCGUAAGAAUAAGGAUCGGCUAACUCCGUGCCAGCAGCCGCGGUAAUACGGAGGAUCCGAGCGUUAUCCGGAAUCAUUGGGUUUAAAGGGUCCGUAGGCGGGCCAUUAAGUCAGGGGUGAAAGUUUUGCGGCUCAACCGUAAAAUUGCCUUUGAUACUGGUGGUCUUGAAUCGUUGUGAAGUGGCUAGAAUGUGUAGUGUAGCGGUGAAAUGCAUAGAUAUUACACAGAAUACCGAUUGCGAAGGCAGGUCACUAACAACGCAUUGACGCUGAGGGACGAAAGCGUGGGGAGCGAACAGGAUUAGAUACCCUGGUAGCGACUGA